rnacentral:rRNA from 1 species
GGAUGCGAUCGUACCAGCACUAAAGCACCGGAUCCCAUCAGAACUCCGAAGUUAAGCGUGCUUGGGCGAGAGUAGUACUAGGAUGGAUGAGUGACCUCCUGGGAAGUCCUCGUGUUGCAUCCC